ensembl:lncRNA
CGCGGCCCUGCUCCAAGCCAGGCCUGGGUGGGGCCCAGGGCGGGACCCCAGCUGCCCUCUGCCCUAGGGUCGGCAAAGCUCUGUCCACCCUCCACGCAAGAGGGUGUCCCCGUCCCCUCGCCCUGGAGAGGCCUAGAGUCGGUGUCUGUGGCCGGCCACGGGGCCUCCCGCUGGAUCCUGACCCGCUGCCCCCAGGCUGUCCCAAGGGGGGCAGGGGUGGUGGAGGCCCCGAGGGCCGCGGGACGAGCAGGAUUCUCCCUGCCCGCUGGAUGUGAGGGCCUGGCUUGGGGCUUCUGGGGCCUCAGAGGAGGCGUCUGGGCCUUCCUCCCCUCCCAGGGCAGGUGACAGUCAGAGCCAGGCCCCAGGGACAAGAGCUAGUGACGGGUGUCUGUGAGCUGGUGAAGGUGUGGCUGUGGCCCACGGUUCGGGCAGUGGGGCUGCGGUGUCCGUGUGUCUGAGCGGCCCCAGGGCAUUUUCUGUGUGCUGGUCUAGGGGCUCCCUGUGACCCUAGUUUGUCACUGUUGCCAUCAUCGGAGGUGUCGUGGGUGUGCGAAGGUUCCUCAGGAGAUCGCACGCACUUCUGCCUGGGUGGAGCCGAGCAUGUUGCUCACCUGACAGCUGCGUGGGCCGAGUCCAUCUGGAGGCCAGGUUGUGGGGGAGGUGCCCCCAUGGUCUCAGGCUUCUGGGGUGAGUGGCCAUGCUCACUUUGGUGGCUGUGUCCAGGCCGGGUCUGGUGCCCUCCUAGAGGGGAGAAUUGGUUUGUUCCCUGCCUGUGGGCCCCUGAGGAGGCUGGCGGUGAGCUGGGCUCUGGGACACUCACGGUCCUGCCUCUGGGGACCCCUCCCGCAUGGCUCCCAGGUGUCUCCUGCGCUGUGUGUUCCUGCCUGGGCGAAGGCUCUUGGCCUUCUCACUGGGCCCUAUCGCCUUGGGCUCUAGUUCCCAUUACUGAGGUGCCGUCUCCACCACGAAGGGCUGCUGGGGUAGGGGUGAGGCCUCCGUGUGGAUGUGACCAGCGCAGGGCGGUUCACUCCACAGUGCUCUGCAUCUUCUUUGUCAGUGUGGGGCGUGGAGUGAGUGUGUAGCGUGUGUGCAGCUUCCUCCAGGUGCAUGUGUGCUCCUAUCUGUGCCAGGGUUGGUGGGAGUGUGGCCUGCCUGCCUCUGUCGUGUGGUGUGUGGGGCUCCCAUGCAGCGGUCCCGGGUGGGGACAGCCUGUCCCGGCCUGUGUGUGGUUGUGGUGCAUGCGGGGUGUCUGUCCUCCCUCUGCGGCUGGGCUGUUUGUGUCCCCCCCAGGGCAGUGCACCCUUGUGUUCCUGCUUCGGCGCUGUGGGUUUGGGGUGUGGGGGUUUCAGUUCCUUUGCCUUCAGCUGCCAGGGAGGAAGAGCUGCUCCCUGUGGAACUGGGAGACCGGCCGCAGUGCUGGCCUCCUGUGAGGACCUCGAGCGAGUGACCCCCCGCUCCCAGUGUCCCCCAGGUCUGCUGGGCGUCACCCCUGUUGCGGGGCAGGCACCCCCUUUGCAGGUUGGGAUUGGAGGCAGCCCUGCUCCUGCAUCCAUGCCGACUCAGCAUGAGGUCUGGGGCUGCGUCUCCUCGCUUGCAGCUGGGGUGGUCUCUGCCUCUCCCUCUCGGUUCGCCAGGGGCCAUCAAAGGCUCUGGUCCUCCUGUGUCUGGACUGCAGUCUCGUCUGUGUGGACAGCUUGGGCUGAGGACGAUUCUGCCUGCGGCAGCUGGAGGUGCAGGUAGCCAUCGAGCACCUGGACCCUGGCAAGUGCAACCAAGGAACUGAGUUUUAUUUGCUUCACUUAAAUUUAGCCACCUGCGGCCACCGUGCAGGCCAGCAUGGCCCCAAGGUUUCUUCCCCAAUGGGGACCAUGGAGAGUGACCCUGUGUGCAUGUGGAGUCCCACAGUCGGACCACAGGGUGUAGCCUCUCCUGCCUGGCUCAGCUUGCCAGCCUGGAGGAGAUCGUGAGUGUGUGUGUGUGUGUGUGUGUGUGUGUGUCGCAGCAGCUGGAGGACUGGGUGCAUGGAUGCUGCAGGCGCAGGCGGUCUCUACAGUGGGCUGGGCCUCCUGCCUUGCAUGGUUUCCAUCUCAGCUCCCUGCCCACUGGGGUCCGUGGAGAUGCCAGUGUCCUGGGGUCUGGGCCAACUCUGGGUGCCCUCUGUGACCUGCAGCUGAGCGCGAUGACUCGGGAG